rnacentral:rRNA from 1 species
UACAGAGGGGGCAAGCGUUAUUCGGAAUUAUUGGGCGUAAAGGGCGCGUAGGCGGUUUGUACAGUCAGACGUGAAAUUCCUGGGCUCAACCUGGGGGCUGCGUUUGAUACGUGCGAGCUUGAGUUCGGAAGAGGGUCGUGGAAUUCCCAGUGUAGAGGUGAAAUUCGUAGAUAUUGGGAAGAACACCGGUGGCGAAGGCGGCGACCUGGUCCGAUACUGACGCUGAGGCGCGAAAGCGUGGGGAGCAAACAGG